rnacentral:tRNA from 1 species
GGGCGAAUGGUGGAAUGGUAUACACACCAGGUUGAGGGCCUGGCCUCGUUUGAGGGUGAGGGUUCAAGUCCCUCUUCGCCCA